CCACUUCUCAGUUCAUAAAGCACAAGGCUCUUAACCUUGUGGACGUGGGUUCAAGCCCCAUGAUGGGGG
rnacentral:tRNA from 1 species